AGAGUUUGAUCAUGGCUCAGAGCGAACGCUGGCGGCGUGCCUCAUACAUGCAAGUCGAGCGAGAAAGGGGGCUUCGGCUCCUAAGUACAGCGGCGAACGGGUGCGUAACACGUGGGUGAUCUGUCCUUGAGAUGGGGAUAACCCAGCGAAAGUUGGGCUAAUACCGAAUAAGACCACAGGAGGAAACUCUAGGGGUCAAAGGAUGCUUUCUUCGGGGAGCAUUCUCUUGAGGAGGAGCCCGCGGCCUAUCAGCUUGUUGGUAGGGUAACGGCCUACCAAGGCAAAGACGGGUAGCUGGUCUGAGAGGAUGACCAGCCACACGGGGACUGAGAUACGGCCCCGACUCCUACGGGAGGCAGCAGUAGGGAAUAUUGGGCAAUGGGGGAAACCCUGACCCAGCGACGCCGCGUGGGUGAUGAAGGCCUUCGGGUCGUAAAGCCCUGUCGGGAGGAACGAACGAUCUCGUGGUAAAUAGCCGCGAGAUGUGACGGUACCUCCGAAGGAAGCACCGGCCAACUCCGUGCCAGCAGCCGCGGUAAGACGGAGGGUGCAAGCGUUGCUCGGAAUCACUGGGCGUAAAGGGUGCGUAGGCGGUCUCUCAAGUCUGGCGUGAAAGCCCAGGGCUCAGCCUUGGAAGUGCGCUAGAAACUGAGAGGCUUGAGUGCCGGAGGGGAGAGUGGAAUUCCCGGUGUAGCGGUGAAAUGCGUAGAUAUCGGGAGGAAUACCGGUGGCGAAGGCGACUCUCUGGACGGCAACUGACGCUGAGGCACGAAAGCGUGGGGAGCAAACAGGAUUAGAUACCCUAGUAGUCC
rnacentral:rRNA from 1 species